AGGAGACUGUUUAGGCCAUGCCUGGCAUCAGUAACUCAGGCUGUUUCCCACACUACAGGCCAGCACUGUGGGCUCUCAGUUUAUUGGGAAAUGGAAAUAAGAGGGAAGGACAAAAGUCCACUGGGAAGCAGACUGGACAGAAAGGAACUCUGAGCAGCUAAACUCUGACUAAUCCCAGGGUAUACCUGCGUUUUCUCUUCACCAGAUUUUUCCUACCAGGAAGAGCAUGUGCUGACCAACAGACAUGAAUUUCAGCCUGGUAGUUACAACAUUCACAGAUGAGCAGAUUCAUGUAUGACCAGAAUGUAAACCAGGAUCACAGAGCAGCCGGAGAGGUGGUGACAGAACCAUCGAUGGAACCCUGGGCUCCAGACAAACUGCGGCCUGGACCAGCUGGUGAAACAUAAUUCUGAAUCCUGCCCACAGCCUUCGGUGGUUUUGGAUGAAAGGCCAGCGCCUUGGGAGCCCUGCGUUUGAUUUCAAGUUUUAAGGCCGGCACUGGUGGAGCAAUGAAUGGUGAAAGCUCUCCCCUUAAAGGAGCACAGUUGCCUUUAGGUGACUGCUAACUCAGGCUUUUGCUGAGGACAGUGUUUACUUUGUGAGCUUAAUGACAGGGCUGGCUUUCUGGGAGUGUUGCAAUGAAACAGACUCAGACACAGGCCAUCAUGGGCCUCCUCCCUAGCAAGGCCGCCACGGCUGGCAUCUCAAGAGCAGUCCGUUGAACUUGGGAUUUGGGUGUGAGACACAGUUUCAUCAGAAGAAUUUAAACCAAAGUCUACAUUUGCCCUCUAGAUAAAUGUGUGUGUUCAGCAGCAACCA
rnacentral:lncRNA from 1 species